rnacentral:rRNA from 1 species
UACAGAGGUCCCAAGCGUUGUUCGGAUUCAUUGGGCGUAAAGAGCUCGUAGGCGGUUUGUUGCGUCGGCUGUGAAAUCCCGAGGCUCAACCUCGGGUCUGCAGUCGAUACGAGCAAACUAGAGUGUUGCAGGGGAGACUGGAAUUCCUGGUGUAGCGGUGAAAUGCGCAGAUAUCAGGAGGAACACCUAUUGCGAAGGCAGCUCGCUGGGACGUAACUGACGCUGAGACGCGAAAGCGUGGGGAGCAAACAGG